rnacentral:rRNA from 1 species
AUGAACGCUGGCGGCGUGCCUCAUCCCUGCAAGUCGAGCGCACGGACGAGAAGCUUGCUUCUCUGAUGUUAGCGGCGGACGGGUGAGUAACACGUGGAUAACCUACCUAUAAGACUGGGAUAACUUCGGGAAACCGGAGCUAAUACCGGAUGAUAUUUUGCACCGCAUGGUUCAAAAGUGAAAGACGGUCUUGCUGUCACUUAUAGAUGGAUCCGCGCUGCAUUAGCUAGUUGGUAAGGUAACGGCUUACCAAGGCAACGAUGCAUAGCCGACCUGAGAGGGUGAUCGGCCACACUGGAACUGAGACACGGUCCAGACUCCUACGGGAGGCAGCAGUAGGGAAUCUUCCGCAAUGGGCGAAAGCCUGACGGAGCAACGCCGCGUGAGUGAUGAAGGUCUUCGGAUCGUAAAACUCUGUUAUUAGGGAAGAACAUAUGUGUAAGUAACUGUGCACAUCUUGACGGUACCUAAUCAGAAAGCCACGGCUAACUACGUG